rnacentral:rRNA from 1 species
AGUGAACGCUGGCGGUAGGCCUAACACAUGCAAGUCGAACGGCAGCACAGUAAGAGCUUGCUCUUACGGGUGGCGAGUGGCGGACGGGUGAGGAAUACAUCGGCAUCUACUUUUUCGUGGGGGAUAACGUAGGGAAACUUACGCUACUACCGCAUACGACCUACGGGUGAAAGCAGGGGAUCUUCGGACCUUGCGCGAUUGAAUGAGCCGAUGUCGGAUUAGCUAGUUGGCGGGGUAAAGGCCCACCAAGGCAACGAUCCGUAGCUGGUCUGAGAGGAUGAUCGGCCACACUGGAACUGAGACACGGUCCAGACUCCUACGGGAGGCAGCAGUGGGGAAUAUUGGACAAAGGGCGCAAGCCUGAUCCAGCCAUACCGCGUGAGUGAAGAAGCCCUUCGGGUUGUAAAGCCCUUUUGUUGGGAAAGAAAAGCAGCAGGUUAAUACCCCGCUGUUCUGACGGUACCCAAAGAAUGAGCACCGGCUAACUUCGUG